UACGGGGGGGGCAAGCGUUGUUCGGAAUUACUGGGCGUAAAGGGCUCGUAGGUGGCCAACUAAGUCAGACGUGAAAUCCCUCGGCUUAACCGGGGAACUGCAUCUGAUACUGGAUGGCUUGAGUUUGGGAGAGGGAUGCGGAAUUCCAGGUGUAGCGGUGAAAUGCGUAGAUAUCUGGAGGAAUACCGGUGGCGAAGGCGGCAUCCUGGACCGACAUUGACGCUGAUGAGCGAAAGCUAGGGGAGCAAACGGG
rnacentral:rRNA from 1 species